UACAGAGGUCUCAAGCGUUGUUCGGAUUCAUUGGGCGUAAAGGGUGCGUAGGCGGCGCGGUAAGUCGGGUGUGAAAUCUCGGAGCUUAACUUCGAAACUGCAUUCGAUACUGCCGUGCUUGAGGACUGGAGAGGAGACUGGAAUUUACGGUGUAGCGGUGAAAUGCGUAGAUAUCGUAAGGAAGACCAGUGGCGAAGGCGGCUACCUGGACCAGCACUGACACUGAGGCACGAAAGCGUGGGGAGCAAACAGG
rnacentral:rRNA from 1 species